rnacentral:lncRNA from 1 species
CUUUUGUUUGGUUUCUAGGAUAGAUAUUGUGUGCACCAAUAAAGCACGGACACUCCUCGGAUUAGGCGUGUCCUGGUGUCAUUAUGACUACAUUAGUACAUUGAAUUAUGUCAUUUUCUCAAACUAUUAUCGGUGUCGACGUGUUAGUGUUUGUGUCGUUUCCGGCGUCCGUGUCUGUGUCCGUGCUUCCAAGGUGUGCACCUAUAUUUGUGCAUGUUAGGCUUAUUCAAAACCUAAAAAUACUAUCAACAUAUUAUUUUAGGAAAAUGCUAAACAGUGCCCCCGGGGCACUGGUUAAGGAUAUCAAAAUAGAAAUUUUAUCUUGGAAAUUGUGAAUUCAAUACUUUAAAGAUGUAAAAAGUUAUUAUCUCUCAUCAUUAAUUUUAUUCUUUCUUUCUUUUUUUAGUAUGCUUAACUAGUGCCCCGGGGGCACUGUUUAGCAUGACCCAUUAUUUUAUUACUUGCAAGGACAAAGAUACUAGUAUUUACAAUUAUUCCAGAUAUGUUGUAAUGAUAAAUUAGUUGAUAAAGCGAAUAUGCAUGUAAUCUAUGAAGUCCAUAUACUUAAAAAGAUGGAAGAGUAUCAGAAGUCCAUAUAAUUACUUCGGAUACAUUUUCAGCACUUCUUACCAUCUAAAGAAACAAAUGUCAUCUAUAUAUGAUAUAUGUUUGAUAUAAUUUACUAACUAAAACAGACAAUUGUAUGUUUUUUUGUGACUGAUUCACGGUAUAAGAACAUGUACUGAUAUAGGUCUGAGGAAAAUAUGUAUCUAUGCAUACUUGUUAUGAUCGGCUCGCAACUUCGAGUACUAACAGCUAUU